GACGAACGCUGGCGGCGUGCUUAACACAUGCAAGUCGAACGGAAAGGCCUCUUUCGGGGGGUACUCGAGUGGCGAACGGGUGAGUAACACGUGAGUAACCUGCCCUUGACUUUGGGAUAACUUCAGGAAACUGGGGCUAAUACCGGAUAGGAGCUCCUGCUGCAUGGUGGGGGUUGGAAAGUUUCGGCGGUUGGGGAUGGACUCGCGGCUUAUCAGCUUGUUGGUGGGGUAGUGGCUUACCAAGGCUUUGACGGGUAGCCGGCCUGAGAGGGUGACCGGCCACAUUGGGACUGAGGUACGGCCCAGACUCCUACGGGAGGGAGCAGUGGGGAAUAUUGCACAAUGGGUGGAAGCCUGAUGCAGCAACGCCGUGUGCGGGAUGACGGCCUUCGGGUUGUAAACCGCUUUCGCUCAUGACGAAGCUUUGUGUGACGGUAGUGGGUAAAGAAGCACCGGCUAACUACGUG
rnacentral:rRNA from 1 species